GACGAACGCUGGCGGCGUGCUUAACACAUGCAAGUCGAACGGAAAGGCCAGUGCUUGCCCUGGUACUCGAGUGGCGAACGGGUGAGUAACACGUGGGUGAUCUGCCUUGCACUCUGGGAUAAGCUUGGGAAACUGGGUCUAAUACCGGAUAUGAACUGCCUUUAGUGUGGUGGUUGGAAAGUUUUUUCGGUGCAAGAUGAGCUCGCGGCCUAUCGGCUUGUUGGUGGGGUAAUGGCCUACGAAGGCGUCGACGGGUAGCCGGCCUGAGAGGGUGUACGGCCACAUUGGGACUGAGAUACGGCCCAGACUCCUACGGGAGGCAGCAGUGGGGAAUAUUGCACAAUGGGCGGAAGCCUGAUGCAGCGACGCCGCGUGGGGGAUGACGGCCUUCGGGUUGUAAACUCCUUUCGACAGGGACGAAGCGUAAGUGACGGUACCUGUAUAAGAAGCACCGGCUAACUACGUG
rnacentral:rRNA from 1 species